AUAUUCUAUUACUUUUCUCUUUCUGAGAAAUAUGAAAGAGUUAUGACUUAAGGCCUUCAAUUUCCAGUGCUGAUUUGGUGAAACAGGCUUUAUCAGACCCUUCAAAUUUUGUUUGUUGCACACUCCCACACUAAAGCAAUGAAUUCUAAUUGUGUUAUAGACAUUGGAAUCAAAAUUUCAGUAGGUAGUGCAGCUGCUAAUUUUCAAACAGGCAUAUUCUCCGCUAGGCGUUAUUUUGUUCUCCUGGCUUCCUCAGUUCUUAUUAUUAUCACAUGGCUUAAUUUAAGCAAUGACGUUUAUGAUUUCGACACAGGAGCAGAUAAAAACAAAAGAGAAUCAGUUGUAAACCUCGCUGGAAGCCGUACAGUAACUUUACUUGCUGCUUCACGGGGCUGACAUGGACAUCUGUGGAGGCAGGAAAUAUGCGUUCAAUAAUAUCACUGGCAUGUGCGAUUAUUUGUGGUUAUACAUAUCAGUGCCCUCCAUUUCGGUUAAGCUACCAAGGAUUGGGAGAGCCCCUGUGCUUUGCAGCAUUUGGGCCAUUUGCUAGUACUGCUUUUUACCUCUUACAUGGCAGCACAAGUCAGAUGAACUAUCUUCCCUUAAGUGGUACAAUUCUUUCUGCUUCAAUCCUUGUUGGCUUCACAACUUCCCGAAUUCUUUUCUGUAGUCACUUUCAUCAGGUAGAAGAAGAUAAGGCAGUUGGAAAAAUGUCCCCUCUGGUAAGGCUUGACACCGAAAGAGGUUUGAGUGUGGUGAAGGUUGCUGUCAUAGCACUUUACUUCUUGUUUGCCUUUGGUCUAAUCAAGGCCCUUCCUUUUACUUGUAUUUUAAGUCCUUCAAAUUGGUAAAGUAUACAAAUUUAACUUCGGCA